CGACCUGAGCUCAGACGAGAUGACCCGCUGAAUUUAAGCAUAUCAGUAAGCGGAGGAAAAGAAACUAACCAGGAUUCCCCGAGUAAUGGCGAAUGAAACGGGAAGAGCCCAUCCCGAAUCCCCCGUACCUCCUCAAAGGCCAGCGGGCGGAGCUGUGGGGUAGGAGGCGCCGUCGCGAUGUAGGGUUGACCCGUUCCUAAGUCUUCUGGAAUGUGGCCACAGCCCCGAGAUGGUGAUAGGCCCGUGAGGGACCAGGUCCCCUAGUCGCGUCACGCUGGCGUCCUCGAGAGUCCGGCUGCUUGGGAGUGCAGCCCAAAGGUGCCCGAGAGGGUUGUGGGUGGUAGGCUCCAUCCAAGGCUAAAUACUGGCACGAGACCGAUAGCGCACGAGUACCGUGAGGGAAAGUUGAAAACAACUCUGACCAGAGGGUGAAAAGAGGUGAAACCGCCUGGAUGGAAACGGAUGGGCACACAAGGUCGAACCGGGCGGCACAACCAAGAUGUUGCUUGGGGGGCGGGCUCUGGGNNNNAGAAAAGAGGGAGCUGGUCCCGUGCCGCCGGGGAAGCCUGAACGAGUAGGGGGGCGCGGAGGUGAGCGCAGAAGCCCGGUCCGUGGGGCCGGGAGGAGCCGCCUCUGGUGCAGAUCUUGGUGGAAGUAGCAAAUACUCCAGAGAGAACCUUGAGGGCCGAAGGGGAGAAGGGUUCCGCGGCGACGUCAUGCGUCCGCGGGUGAGUCGGUCCUGAGGGGUCGGCCAUUGCCGUUUAAAAGGGGGGGCCUUUUGCCCCCCGCACUCGAAAGGGAAUCAGGCCACGGUUCCUGUACCCAGAACCCGAUAUGAUCGCCCGACUCACGAGUACCGAGGACGGAGUCUAGCAGCGGGGAGCAGGGUAGCCGCAUCUGUAUAUACCCCCUUUCUGCGGUUGCUUGGCAAGCUGCUGCUGGUUGAGAGGCUCCCGAUGGGGAAAGGGGCUGGCGUGAAAUGCGGCGACGCGCGCGAGCCAGGAGACGCCAGCGGUCGGACCGGCCAGGACUAUCUCUUCUGGUUGAGAGACGGUGAGCCCCCCGGAGUUUGGGCCUCGGGCCGAGAAGGGGGGGAAGUACUCGCAAAGCGUCCCCGAGUAGGGCGUCCGGGAACCGUCCGCUGGCCCUUGAAAAUCCUGGGGAGAGAGAGAGAGAGCAGAGAAAAAAAAUCGAUUCGGGCCUGGGCCGUACCGAUAUCCGCAUCAGGUCUCCAAGGUUUGAAGCCUCUGGCCAAUAGAACACUGUAGGUAAGGGAAGUCGGCAAGUUGGAUCCGUAACUUCGGAAGAAGGAUUGCCUCUGGGGGCCGGGCAGCGCCUGGUCCGACCGGAAGCGGAGAAGGGGCCCGCCUGUCAAAAUGCUGGGGGGCAACCCGCCGUGGAAGGGCACGACUUAAGUGGCCGGGAAUCGAGUGCGCGUGUCGUAAUGGGCCGCGCCCCCGCAACCGCAAGGGCUGCCGGAGCGGUCGACGUGGAGGUGUCACGGUCCGGGGGAAUCCGACUGUCUAAUUAAAACAUAGCCUCUCGAAAACCGGCGAGCGGUGCUGACGGGAGGUGAAUUCUGCCCAGUGCCCUGAAUGUCAAAGUGGAGAAAUGCACAUAAGCGCGGGUAAACGGCGGGAGUAACUAUGACUCUCUUAAGGUAGCCAAAUGCCUCGUCAUCUAAUUAGUGACGCGCAUGAAUGGAUUAACGAGAUUCCCACUGUCCCUACCUACUAUCUAGCGAAACCACAGCCAAGGGAACGGGCUUGGCGAAGACAGCGGGGAAAGAAGACCCUGUUGAGCUUGACUCUAGUCCGACUCUGGCAGGCGGCGCGGGCGGUGUAGCAUAGGGAGGAGACCCCACCGAGGCGCAUCCCGUCGUCAGGGACGGCCGGGGGCUAGCACGGGUGCGGGGUGGUAGAGCGCGGACCCUCCUUUGCCCUGGCGUGCGCGUGCGGCAAUGGGCCACCUGGUGGCCUAGGGCUUGCUUGUUUGCGUCGGGCCGGGGAGAUCGUGCCUCCCUCCGUCCUGCUGGUUGGUCUCUGAGCCCCCUGGCGGCGGCUCAACGGGGACCCGAGCUUGAAAUACUCCCACGUGCGCGUCCGUCUGCCUCCAUCCGGUGAAGCGGGCUUUGGGCGUUACCCCCAUGGCCGGUUGGGGGGCCAUUUUGUCACACAAGAGCUAAGUCGCCCCCUCGCCACUCUUACCACGAGGCCGGCGAGGCUGGCGGCGACCCGGUCCGGAGACAAAGUCAGGCGGGGAGUUUGGCUGGGGCGGUACGCCCGUCAAAAGAUAACGCGGGCGACCUAAGGCCAGCUCAGCUGCGGUUAGAAACCUGGCGUAGAGCACAAGGGCAAAAGCUGGCUUGACCGAGCGCAUCCAGUAAGUGCGCCGGCUGCGAAAGCAAGGCCUAGAGAUCCUCUCGGACCCACAGUGGUGCCUGGGAGCGCAGAUCAGGGGAGAGGUGUCAGAAAAGUUACCACAGGGAUAACUGGCUUGUGGCGGCCAAGCGUUCCUAGCGACGUCGCCGUUUGAUCCUUCGAUGUCGGCUCUUCCUAUCACGGCGAGGCAGGACUCGCCAAGCGUUGGAUUGUUCACCCACCGACAGGGAACGUGAGCUGGGUUUAGACCGUCGCGAGACAGGUUAGUUUUACCCUACUGUUGACCGUUGGAUGUCGAAGCGGCAGGGCUGCUCAGUACGAGAGGAACAGUGGACCCGGGCCU
rnacentral:rRNA from 1 species